UAUUCGCUCUCUCAAAACGCCUACAUCCAAACAGCGCAUUUUGCAACAACAAAAAUGUAAACAAACAAACUUUUUUCGUUGAAAGAGAGUGCAAGCGCAGUGCAUGCAACAAUUUUCCUUUGUGUUAUUUCGCAAAUUUGACGUUUUUCAUUCUAUCUGACAUACACAACGACCGAAUAACUCCAUUGCAAGUCAAAAAAGCGCAAAUUCAGUGGAGCAGCUUAGAGAAAAAGUCAAAUUGAUUGUGCUAUUGGUAUUCGUGGAGGACAGUGCAAUCGGUUUUGGCAAGAGCCACCAAGUAAGGAAAUUGCAAGUAUGCUGAAUUUUUUCAAAGACGUAAUGGCUCCUACAACGCGUAGCGCUAAAUCGGAAGAUAAUAAAGAUGGCGGUGUCUGUGGUAAAAUUGGAAUCAAUGAAAAUUGUGUCAAGCAAACUACAGUGCCUCCACCAAUUAAAGGCUACAAAAUAACAGACAACGAACGUUCUAAAAAAUACGGCAUUGGCGCUAAUUCACUACAGAUGCUAAAGGAUAAGGCGAAACUAAAGUUUCCUAUUAAAGACUUAAGGUUAUAUAUUUCUACUGAUGGCUUUGAAGUAUCUGACGAUGAUUACUUUCAAACAUUGGCGUCUCAAACACUUUUCAUUGUGGCUGGGCCGGAUGAGAUUAUAACUACAGAUGCCGACUUUGAAUUCGAAAAAUUGCGCCAAAACUCACCCUUACUUCGUGUUGCCGAUAUCAUUUAUGAAUUUAUUGAACAAAAUCCCGAACAAUUUCGCAAAAUGAUAACAGAUUAUGAAAAUCGUAAGAUUUGUCGUCAGCAAGCGCUAGAUAGCAACAAACAGGCAUACCAAGGCAAAACCGAACUUAGUUUGCGUACACAACACCGCGAAUGGUUUGAGGGACAAGAGGAACGUUGCCAUUCCAAGGAAGAGGCCAUGGCGCGUCGUGCGCAAGAUCGUAUGCGUAGCUACUACUACAAAACGAAGGAGGAACUGACGCGCAAUAAACUGUAUCGACAAAAUCUAAAAGCACGCCACAUAAUCGAUGCUGUACUAGAGCAAUUUCGCUAUUUGCUAAUCGGUUGUGAUUACUUCUCCAUGCUAUUCGAUCGCAAGUGUCCGAAAAAGCAUGCAAUUCUGCAACAACAACUCGACGAUGAAACAGAUGCUAGCGCAAUGCUUCCAAAUAAACGUCUGCGUCAGGUCAUCAAAGAGUAUACGGCGCGCCAUAAAAUACUAGACGAAUGGUCGGUGUCGCUCUGCACUGAACUGGGCGAUUUCUACUGUCAAGGCAGCUACUCGGAUAACGGCAAUUGUUGCACGCUCAAACACACCAUCAAUCCAUAUGCAUCGCGUGAGAAUUUAAUACUCUUCCAGGUUUGGAAUUUAGAUCAUCAAAUCGAGUUAUCGCGUUCCAUAUUGCCCGCUUUAAUUGAGAAUGUGCGCGAUCUAGUAGAGCACCCGCAAUGCAAAUGCACGCUACACAAUAAGCGCGUUAUUGACAUAUCUGUGUUGGAAUACUUUUUGGAAAUUUUCUCCUUGAAAAAUCUAAAACUGGUGCACAUCGUCUGUCAUGAUAAAACACAGCGCUCAAACAAAUCCAAUGGUCGCUUGGUGUGUGAACAAUGUCAUGAGUACAAAAUCGUGCAGGAAUUAAUGGGUGUGCGUAAUCAGGAGGAUGAAGUGUCUGCAACGAGUUAAAGAAUUUCAAGUGUGUGAUUGGUCGAAGAUAAAGAAAACGUUUCAUAUAUGUUUUUAAGGUUAUAUCAACGACUAAAAGAGUACAAUACAUGUGAGCGAAAUUGCUUUUAAUGCAAGCUUUAUAUGUUAUUCGUACUAUUUAAUAUUUUUGUAAAUCCAUGGCAAUAAUGAGGUGAUUCUCGUAUACACGCCCGGAUAUUCGCCUUUGCCACAGCCAAUGCCCCACGACACGAUGCCGACCUGUGUAUAGCGUCCGCCCUCAUUGACGAUCAAAGGACCGCCAGAGUCACCCUGAAAGAGCUGUUUUUUUACGACGCGAGUUUCUCUGUUUCUCUGGAGAUUUUUACCAUGAAACAAAUUUGAACAACGAGUUUGCUUGAAAAUGUGUGUUCCCAAUGGAAUCGUUAAAAAUUUUGCAAAAGUGUUUUAAUGUGUCACUUUAUCACGUCCAAAAGUAUUUGAGUGGCGCAAAGCGUUCAACAAAAGUCGUGCAGUCAUCAAAAACUAGGCUCAUACGACUCAUCCAUCCAACUCUGUUAAUGACGGCAAUAUCGAAAAAGUUAAAAAAUAAUUUAAAAUCGUCGUAUUGGCAUCAGAGGGAUAUUAGAGGAUCGUAACAUCUCUUUUGGACCGACUCAAUACUUUGUGGUUAAUGUUUUGGGUGAGCGUGUACCAAAAGAUCUGAAUGGCCGUCACAUUCUAGCGUGACCGUAUUCGACACAUAUGGCUCCCUGUGACCUUUUUCUGUUUUACAAAAAAAAAACAGAAAAUCCGCUUCGGAAAACGCUCCAUGAUUCCAGAAUUCUUAAAACGAGAAUAAGUGGCGUUGGAAGCAUCCACACAAGCAAACAUUUAGGUACACAAUACAUAAGUGACCUCAAGCAACCUCCAGGAAUUCAUAUACAGGUAUACCUAGGCACUGUAUACAAUAAAAAUUUACCAAAAGUGCUAAAUUAUUGACAAGAAAACGCUAAAGACCGCAAGUAACAGCAUAAAAUUUAAAAAAAUGUUAUUUAAACUCUUAAACAUGAAUACACACGCACAUAAAAGAAUUGAUAUUGUGUCUUAUGUGCAUAAAAAGUUCGGUGCUAUUGAAAUAAACAUAGAAAAAAAGAAAACAAAAUUAGAAAAGCAAGAUGGCGUAACCAAUCCACCUAAACGCAUUAAAGUUGAGGCUCUAAAGUUUAAGACGUCAGAUAUCAAUAGUUCAAAAAAAUAUGCAAUUAUCGUUGGUAGAAAAACCGAACACAAAAUAAAAAAUAAACCGCUAGACAUGCCGAAACUCUCUUCACCGUCGCCAAAACCUCAGCAACCAAUGGUUGAACUAAACAUUCAACGAAUAGAACCACUGGGCCUUCUGAGUUAAGAAAGUACUUGGAGGAUAUUGUGUUUAAUAAAAUGUCUGAUCAACUAAAAUGUAAAUUAAUAUACAAAAUAACAAAAUGUGAGUCAAGUAUGAUAAAUCGACUCUUAAAUAAUAUAAAACUUGGACCAGCCAGUAAGGAAACCGCAAUCAAAAAACACGAAGGAAGAUACGUUAAACCAGAUUCAAAGAAAGCGAUAGAUAAAAGGAAAAUUAAUAAGAUGAUAACAACACGCUUGUCACCAGAUAUCGCAAAAGCAAAAAUAGAAACUCCUUCACCAGCCGACGUCAAACGAAUGCAACAGGCAGUGCAAGCUCCAACCCUUAAUAUACACAACAACAAAUUACCCAAUGCACAGGCUUUACAUAAAUUUCCAUUUGUUGUAAUACCACGUCCAUCGCCAUUGUUGCGUAGUAAAUUGUUGGAGCACCAAUUGAACAACAAACCGAAAAGCAACAUGUACGCAGUGAAAAAAGUAAAUCCACAGCAAUAUGUGGUUGUAUCAACCAGGCUUAAUCAGGCGCAAUUAAGUUUUACAGAGUCGUAAAAAAAUUACAACAAAUUUAAUAUCUAAAAAAUAUAUAAUUAAUAUAUAUUACUAUGUAUUAUUAGGUAUGUGUGUAUGUAAGUAUAUAUGUAUGUACAUUUAAAAAAUUAAAACUUUAAUAUAGAAACUAUUUUAAAAUUGUCGUACCUACUAUUCAUGUUAUAAGUUAAAUAAAGUGUUCCCAGAGAAUGUUAAUAAAUAUUUAAUAAAAAUUUAAAUAAAUAUACAAUAAAAAUUUAAAUAAAUAUAUAAUAAAAAUUUAAAUAAAUAUAUAAUUGUUUAACAUUCUCAGCAUCUGCGCCUUUUCUAUUUAUUAACAUACUCUGCUUCAAACAAUGUCAACAGAUUUCUGUAAUGUAAAUGUCAAAAAAAAUAAAAUAUACCAAAAUGCGAACAUUAA